UACGUAGGGUGCGAGCGUUGUCCGGAAUUAUUGGGCGUAAAGAGCUCGUAGGCGGCUUGUCGCGUCGGAUGUGAAAGCCCGGGGCUUAACUCCGGGUCUGCAUUCGAUACGGGCAGGCUAGAGUUCGGUAGGGGAGAUCGGAAUUCCUGGUGUAGCGGUGAAAUGCGCAGAUAUCAGGAGGAACACCGGUGGCGAAGGCGGAUCUCUGGGCCGAUACUGACGCUGAGGAGCGAAAGCGUGGGGAGCGAACCGG
rnacentral:rRNA from 1 species